AAUGGCAACGAAGUUCUUCAUCAAAAUUUAGAAAAAUUGGCAGAAACCAACACGCUAUUUAUAUGUUUUCCAAAUAAUCCAUUGCGAAAGAUUGUUCAUAAAAUUGUCAACGCUCAAUCCUUCUACAAUCUGACACUGCUUUUUAUAAUUGUAAGCAGUGGUAUGCUGUCUCUUGAGGAUGCAACUAAUCCAGAAGCAAAAAUAAAUAAAAUUUUGUUAUAUUUUGAUAUAGUAUUUACAGUCUACUUCACAUUCGAGGUUCU
rnacentral:lncRNA from 1 species